rnacentral:lncRNA from 1 species
UAUUGGUGUCCAUCUGAGGGCCAGAGAAGGUGAAUAUAAGAAACAAAUUUCCAUUCCUCUGCCAGUUUAUUUUAUUCAGAAUCUACAUGGAUUGAAAUUUUCUUAUUUGUGUUGAGGCCAGUCUUUGGUCUCAGUUCAUUGAUUCAAAGGAUAAGCUUUUCCAAGAACAUACCAUGGAUACACCAGAAAUAAUGUUUUACCAACCAUGUGGGCAUCCCUCUACCCAGUCAAGCUGAGUGUUCCAUCAAGGUUGGGCAUCAUAGUAUUUUACAUAUUGCUUUGGGGGCACUGUCCCUUCCCCAGACAAGGCCCUUGAGUAAUAUUUACUUUUCUUCUAACUGGACUACUCGAUGAAAUUAACAAUAUUUAAAAUACUGAUGAAGUGCUAAUAAGUCUUGUAUAAGAUGGCAGUAAGAAAGGUGAUUGCUUAAUUGUGUGCACACACAUAUGUAUAAGAAAGUAUAUUCAUGCCAAAAAAAGGAAAAAAAGCUUUCUUGCUUCCAUUUUCGUUUGCUGGGAUUCCUUCACGAAUAGUUUAAAUGGGCUUGUAAUGUUUUCCUUCCCACUUCUUUCUGCAUACCUCAUCUAGCCUGGCCUAGACCUCAGGAGUAGCCCAGGCCGACCUUAAAACUCACGAUCCUCCCUUAUUCCUAGGAUUACAAGUGUGUGCUACUAUAUGCCAGCAUUCUCUUCUGUUCAGUGCAAUUCUGUUUCAUUGAUGAAUAACCUAAAUCAACUGGAAAGGAUCUGGGUUGCUUGUUUUUGAAUGUUAUGAUUUAACUACUAUGAACAUUUAUAUAUAUGUUUUGUAUGGAGAAAAACACUAUUUUUUAAUCACAAAGAUUUGUGCAUGGCUCAUUACAGCCUGAACCCUACCAAUUUAAUGUCAAAAUACUGUUCUCAACAUGAAGCACAGCUUCCGUUUAAAAGCAAUGCCAUUCCAUAGCCCAGGUUGGCUCUAGCUGGUGCGCUCCUUCCUCCGUUCCCCAGUGCCAGAAUUAGAGGGAUGACACCACGCCCAGCCAAAUACAACUCCCUGAAGGAAGUUCACUCAACCUUACAAAAUGAUAUUUUAAAUUAGAGUAUAAAAUUAGUUGUAUUUUUAUGAAAACCACAUAUUUGUUUCACUUAGGCUUCAAAUCACCUUUUUGCAGGAUAUGCAAAUGAACUUCAAAUAGAAAUUCAUAUAAAUACUUUAUUCUGUAUAUGGUAUAUAUUGAGUAAGGGUACACUUUUUUUUUGUUUUAGACAGUGUAGUCAUAUAUGCUGGCCUCAAAUUUUUAUGGUAUGAAUGUUUUACCUACGUGUGCGUGUGUGUGUGUGUGUGUGUGUGUUUAAUAUGUAUUUCUAUCUUACAUGCAUACCUGUUGCCCACGGAGGCCAGAAGGCAUCAGAUCCACUGGAACUGGAGUUACUGAUGAUUGUGAACCACCAUGAAGAUGCUGGGUACUGAACCUGGUUCUCUGGAAGAGCAACAAGAGUUCUUAACUCUUCAUCCAUCUCUCCAACUCCUGUCAUCAAACUCUUAGGUUCUGCGUCUACCUCCAAAGGUUGGGAUUACAGGCCUUCAAUUCUAUGCCCAGUUAAAAUUCUGUAUCUUAUCUUUUCCUAAUCACUUUGCAUGUCUUCAACUAAUGAUGUAGGAGAUAAACACAGAGUAUUAGCC